rnacentral:rRNA from 1 species
CCUACGGGAGGCAGCAGUGGGGAAUAUUGGGCCAUGGGCGCAAGCCUGACCCAGCAACGCCGCGUGCAGGAAGAAGGCUUUCGGGUUGUAAACUUCUUUUAUCAGGGACGAAGCAAGUGACGGUACCUGAUGAAUAAGCCACGGCUAACUACGGGCCAGCAGCCGCGGUAAUACGUGGGUGGCAAGCGUUAUCCGGCUUUACUGGGGGUAAAGGGCGUGUAGGCGGGAGUGCGAUUCAGAUGUGAAAACUAUGGGCUAAACCCAUAGCCUGCAUUUGAAACUGUACUUCUGGAGUGCUGGAGAGGCGAUCGGAAUUCCGUGUGUAGCGGUGAAAUGCGUAGAUAUACGGAGGAACACCAGUGGCGAAGGCGGAUUGCUGGACAGUAACUGACGCUGAGGCGCGAAAGCGUGGGGAGCAAACAGGAUUAGAUACCCCGGUAGUC